rnacentral:rRNA from 1 species
AUUGAACGCUGGCGGCAUGCCUUACACAUGCAAGUCGAACGGCAGCACGGGAGCAAUCCUGGUGGCGAGUGGCGAACGGGUGAGUAAAGUAUCGGAACGUACCUUUCAGUGGGGGAUAACGUAGCGAAAGUUACGCUAAUACCGCAUAUUCUGUGAGCAGGAAAGCAGGGGAGUCGCAAGACCUUGCGCUGAUGGAGCGGCCGAUAUCAGAUUAGCUAGUUGGUGAGGUAAAGGCUCACCAAGGCGACGAUCUGUAGCGGGUCUGAGAGGAUGAUCCGCCACACUGGAACUGAGACACGGUCCAGACUCCUACGGGAGGCAGCAGUGGGGAAUAUUGGACAAUGGGGGCAACCCUGAUCCAGCCAUGCCGCGUGAGUGAAGAAGGCCUU